ACUGUUGCUAACAGUGGUCUGUUUUUAGGUAAAUGUCCCCUGGGUUGGAAGUGUGAGAAAAAGUGGCCGAGAGUCGUGCUACACUUUGUGAAACACUGUGACACUACCUGUGUUUAGGAGAUAAAAAUAAGUGCCCCCUGAAUGCAGGGCAGCAGCUAGGAAAGUGACCAUCUGGGUUUCGAACCAAGAGGGACAACAAUAAGCCAGAGACUGGUCACAUGGAAUAACAUGGUCAGAAACACCGGAUACAAAGCAAUGCUGGCAAAUUACCCUUUUAAAUAUGCUAACGAGCAAGCCAGAAGGUGAACGAUACUUUACCUCGACAGGAGGGGAGACACUGUGGUAUUUGCCUGCCAUUAAAUCCAUGUGCAGUGUAAACUCCAGGGUAUGUAAAACACCUGAAAUCUUUAGACAGAUCAGGU
rnacentral:lncRNA from 1 species